UACGGGGGGGGCAAGCGUUGUUCGGAAUUACUGGGCGUAAAGAGCUCGUAGGCGGUCUGUCACGUCGGCUGUGAAAACCCGAGGCUCAACCUCGGGCCUGCAGUCGAUACGGGCAAACUAGAGUACUGCAGGGGAGACUGGAAUUCCUGGUGUAGCGGUGAAAUGCGCAGAUAUCAGGAGGAACACCGGUGGCGAAGGCGGGUCUCUGGGCAGUAACUGACGCUGAGGAGCGAAAGCGUGGGGAGCGAACAGG
rnacentral:rRNA from 1 species